GGGCCCGCACAAGCGGAGGAACAUGUGGUUUAAUUCGAUGAUACGCGAGGAACCUUACCCGGGCUUGAAAUGUAGAGGAAUAACGAAGAAAUUUGUUAGCCAGCAAUGGUCUCUAUGUAGGUGCUGCAUGGUUGUCGUCAGCUCGUGCCGUGAGGUGUCGGCUUAAGUGCCAUAACGAGCGCAACCCCCAUUGUUAGUUACUAACAGGUCAAGCUGAGGACUCUAACAAGACUGCCAGCGUAAGCUGUGAGGAAGGUGGGGAUGACGUCAAAUCAGCACGGCCCUUACGUCCGGGGCGACACACGUGUUACAAUGGGGGGUACAAAGGGUUGCUACCUGGUGACAGGAUGCUAAUCUCAAAAGCCUCUCCCAGUUCGGAUCGGAGUCUGCAACUCGACUCCGUGAAGCUGGAUUCGCUAGUAAUCGCGCAUCAGCCAUGGCG
rnacentral:rRNA from 1 species